rnacentral:lncRNA from 1 species
CAAGCUUUGAGGUCUCAUACAUGCUCAUAUUUCCCAGUGUCUCAGAUCACUUCCUGUUGCCUUCGGAUUAAGAUGUAGAACGCUCAGCUACUUCUCAAGCACCAUGUCUGCCUGCAUGCCAUCGUGUUCCAACAUGAUGAUAAAGGGCUAAACCUCUGAAAAUGUCCUUAAAUCCUGUCAAAAAGCACCCCCAGACAAUAGUGGACCUGCCCGGACCGGAAGGCCCACCCUGAGUCCGGACAUACCUCAUCCCUGUCCAUCCACUGCCCUCUGCCCUCUGCCCUCUGGCUGCCUGAGCCUGAGCCCUCUGUCUGAGAGAGGGAGAGACCCCACCUGCACCCACUGGAAGAAGGGAUGGGAAGAUGACAGAGUAAGAACACAACAACAGAAGACCAAUAUGACACCACCAGAAUCUAGGGACUCCACACCAGCAAGAACUGAAAAGCCUAACAUAGAGGAUGAAGAAGAGACAAACCUUAAAAAUUAUCCUCUGAAGAUGAUAGAGACCAUUAAAGAGGAAACAAGAAAAUCCCUUAGAGAAAUAGAAGAAAAACAAGCAAAAAAAUUACAUGAAAUGGAGGAAAAGACAAACCAAAAAAAAUUUAGAAAUAAACAAACCCCGUAAAGUAUCUAAACAACCUUGUUUUUAAUUUAGAUAAAAAAUGGAGAAAAAAUUAAAAUCUGG